rnacentral:rRNA from 1 species
AUGUGCAUCUACCGUCGCCGAAGACCCGGGUUGCAAAAACGCCAAGUUCCUCUCCGCCGUGAACCACUACUUCCACAACGCAUACCACCAAGUACCCUUUCGGAUCACCAAGUUCGCUACCAUCGUCGUGAACCGCUUUUGGAACGUGUAUCACUAUGCCCAAGUACCACUAUGCCGGAGACCACAGAUCUGUGA